CUCAAUCAUAGAGGAGAUGCUGGUACCUUCUCAAGAAGUUGCAGUUUUAGAAGGUUUGUGGCUAACAAACCAGGGUCCCCUAAAUUGAAUUGGAAUCAUUCACCAGGCACUGCAGCCCACAGUGUCCAUUGUUCCAGUCCACUGCUGUACUCUGACACUCAACAAGGCUCAUUCUUCGCUCUCAC
rnacentral:lncRNA from 1 species